rnacentral:rRNA from 1 species
UACGUAAGGGGCGAGCGUUAUCCGGAAUCACUGGGCGUAAAGGGCGCGUAGGCGGCGAUAAAAGUCGGAUGUGAAAUCUCAGGGCUCAACUCUGAGACUGCGUCCGAAACUCUAUCGCUAGAGUGCAGGAGAGGAAGGCGGAAUUCCAAGUGUAGCGGUGAAAUGCUUAGAUAUUUGGAAGAACACCGGUGGCGAAGGCGGCCUUCUGGACUGUAACUGACGCUGAGGCGCGAAAGCAUGGGUAG